rnacentral:rRNA from 1 species
GAUCAUGGCUCAGGAUGAACGCUGGCGGCGUGCUUAACACAUGCAAGUCGAACGGACGAUGAAGAGCUUGCUUUUCAGAGUUAGUGGCGGACGGGUGAGUAACGCGUGGGUAACCUGCCUCAUACAGGGGGAUAGCAGCUGGAAACGGCUGAUAAAACCGCAUAAGCGCACAGCAUCGCAUGAUGCAGUGUGAAAAACUCCGGUGGGUGUGAGAUGGACCCGCG